GCCACUUCCCAAGCUCUUUCACAAACAAGAGUUCACAAUCCUGAGGCGGGGAAAGGAACAAACAUUUAUAUAGCACCUUUGGUGUGGGGGGCAUUGUGCUGUGCUGGUAAAAUAAUCAGCUUAUUUGACCCUCAUAACAACCCGAGAAGGUAGGUGCUAUUAUGAUCCCAAUUUUAAGUUGACCUAAGCAGAGAAAGAAAAUUAUAGACCAAUUUCCUUAAUGAACAUGGAUGCAAAAAUCCUCUUUUUUUUUUUUAAUUUGAAUUCGGGUCUUCUUGACUCCAGAUCCAGUGUGCUAUCCCCUGCCUCAUGCGAGGAAAGUAGUUGUAGCAGGAAAGAACCAUGCACAAAAUGAAUGUGCCGUCUCUUCCUCGGUUUCUGUUCCUUUCUUUUUUUCACCUUUUUGCCCCAAUCUUAAGUCUUACGUCAUGAUUACAAGUCAUCACCAAUUCAGAGGAAUGGCAAGUGUCCCAGUCCUGGCAGCGCCGAUGGAAACGCUGGAUUCCCACAAGCACGUUCCCUGUAUAGACUCACGGAUUUGGGAGUCUCUCAGACUAGAACACUGAAGUUUGUAGAAGGCUGGAGUUAGAAGGACCCUGGAGAUCAACUAGUCCCAAUCCAUCCUUUUUACAGAUGGGAAAGCUGAAGCUUGGAGAGAGGAAACAACUUGCUGGGUCAUACAGCCUGCUACUGGCGAGCCAGGAUCUGACCUAUGUGUUUCCUGAGUCCCACGUCUGCAUCUCUUUACUAUGGGGCAAUGUCAUGAUGCUUCUCCAUGCUGCCCUGAACAACCUCAGUGUCUUCCGUUGACUCUGUCCUGCCCCUGUUCAAUUACCCACAGCCACAACCCAAGGUCUGUCCUCCCACACUUUGCCCUGGGAAUAGAAGGGGGAAUGGAUAGUGGGGAGGAAGGUGGGAGUGGGAGGAAAUGAGGUAUAGUGGAGAGAAUGAAGGGGGGAGGAAGAGAAAAAGCCUCUGACCCUGACAAGGUCCCCUGAGUCUCUAUUUACAAUCUUAUUCUCUCUUUGGUUGCUCUAUUAGUUUUUAACUCCCCUCUGACCAAAGGCCCUUCUAAGUCUAUCAUCAGCCUUCAUUCUUUGGUUCUAUAGCUCAUGCUUAAUCGCAACACUUACACUUGCCCCUGGCUAAACUAUCUGACUCUCUAUGUGUGUAUAUGCCUAGAUGUAUGUGUAUAUACACAUAUAAAUACAUAUUUUAUUGAUAUAUCUUAUUUUUAAACUACCCACAUCUCUGAAUAUGUUUUCUCCCUCCUCCUCCUCCUACCCAGAGAGCCAUCCUUCAUCCAAAAAAAAUUUUUUUAAGGGAAAAAAAUCAGUUUAGUCAAUCAGCCAACUACAUACCCAACUACAUCUGAUAGUAUGUACACCAUUGCACACUCCUAGUGCCUAGUCCCCUCUAUAAAGCCAGGAGGGAGGGAUAAGUUGGGUCAUUACAGAAGCACCCCAAUGUGCAUCCCCCCCACCCCAGCACACACACUUAACUUUUUAAACCGCAAAAAUCCCAUCCUGUGAGGAAUCUGGCCCUAAAGCCCCUUCCCAAUCUUCCAUUGUUCCAAUCUCCUCCUCCUCCUCCUCCUCCUCCUUCUCUCUCUUCCCCAACUUGGUUCCCCAAACCUACUUAGAAUAGAAUAAGAAGAAAUUGUUCCUAUUUCUAUGAUGCUUCAGAGCUUCUUUUGGCGCUUUACCCAACUGAUUCACCCACCUAUGGCACGUGCCCUCUCUGGCCCAGCUUUCCUCCUUCAGCUUCAUCGAAUGCAUAUUAAUGAGUUCCAUAUCUCCCAGGGGAAGGCCCAUCCCUGGCCAGGACCUUCUUCUAACCAGGGAAGGGAUCAAGGUUCACAAAGGAUUCUUUUAGCAUUCAAAGCUGCCCUUCCUUCCCUCCCUUACAGAUUAAAAGGUACCUUUCUUACAAAGCCCCUGAGCGGGAGGUAGGCGGUGCAGAUAGCUCUCCCUUUAUUUUCAGAGAACCCUGGAGCUCAGGGAGGUCACAUGAUUUGCUCAAAACAAUAAGUACCAGGUUGGGGUUCAAAACUAAACAUCCAGGGUGGAGUGUGGUAUCAGCUGAAAGCAAGAGACAGCUCUUGGUUUGCUCUCUCUGGACCCUCCAGAGGCUAUCCAGUGACUUUGAGACUUCCCUAAGGGUAUGGAGAGAUGCCCGGUGCUCUUUCCCUGUGCCCCAGCCACCUACUGGCCCAGAGAACAAGCAGGAUCAAUGAGGUGUUCGCUCCAGGUCCCUGCCUGCCCUUUGUGCUUUGUGUUUUCCAUCUUGAAGAGAGGAUUGAUUAUCAGUUCCAAAAUGGACAUGGCCAGCCUUCUGAACUCCUGGGUCUAUCAGGUGAAACUGGGUGGAGACCCGGGCAAAGGGAAGUUUCUUCACUGGAGAUGCCCCUGGCUGGAGUAUGGAUACAAUGCCCAGUGUAAACCUGCCAGAAGACAUCUAUCUUGAGGGGAACAGCGAAGAGGAGAGGGGAAAUGCGGUAUGCCUAUUUGGUAGUCACAUCCCCUGAUGAGCUUUAAAAAUCAACCCACUGGGAGAGACAGACCAUUAGUUGUAAGUUAAGUCACGGGAUCCCAUCUUUAAGUCUUUCUUGACAAUGCCUGUUUGUGUUUUAGGUUGUGUGUAGGAAAUAGAUACCUGUCCUAUACCUGAUUCACACUGUACACUGACUCCCUUUCUAGUCUCUGCUUUGGGGAGACCCCAGAAAUGAACCCACAUUUAAGCUCUAAGUAAUUUUUUCCCUGGGUUAGAGGCUUAGCAAGCCAAAGUGUGUGAGAAAGGGGAGCAUAACUCCUGUUAUUGUGGGUCAGGCUCCCUCAGGGCGACGGAGUCAGAUCCAGACCACUUGCAUAGGUUCAGAGGACAAGGGCCCCUUUGGAAAAAAGGGAGUUUGCAGUGUCACAGCCCCUGGGGCCCAGCGGUGAUUUCUCAGUGUCAUAACAGACUGGAACCAGGGUUUUAAAAGGCCUUCAAAUCCUGGCUGAGGAGUUUGCAUUUUAUCCAUGGAGUAGCUAGGCAGCCAAACAGGGAAAGUGACUUGACCAGAACUGUGACUUGGAAAGAUUACUUUGGCAGCUGGGUGAAGCAUGGAUUGGGGAGGGGAAAGGCUGGGAGCAGGAAAACCAAUUAAGAGACUAAAACAAUGAUCCUGGUAUUAAGGCCCUGAAUGACAUUGUUGAUGUGAGUCUGCAGAAGGGGCUGGGCAUGGGGAAGAUGUGGACACCAGACCGGGAGAAUCUGCAACUAAACAAAGGAUAGGGGGGAAGAGUCGAGGAUAACUCUGAGCCUAGGAACAUGGGAGACUGCAAGGACAGGAGCAGAAACCAGGAAAUUAGAAAGCCAUUCAUUGUAUGGAGGAGGAAAUUGACGCUCUAAGGCUUAGGGGGGAAACGAUAAAUUCUGCCUUAAACAUGUCAAGUUUGAGAUACCAAUAAUAUUUCUAGGUGGAGACAUACCAGAAGUUAUCUUAUAAGAUAGAACCCAGGAGAAUGAUUUGCCCAAGGUAGCUAAAUAUUUCAAGGCCACACAGACACACACCGGUAGGUAUAUGAAUAUAUGUGUAUAUACACAUUCGCCUACCUAGGCAGGGGAAUGAGGCUGAAUUUGAAGUCAGGAGUCCUGGCUUCUAGUCUGGCCUCUGCCAGUAAUAACUUUAAGACCUUCUGAGUCGUACAGUUGAACAAUAGAGAGCCUCAGAACCAGGAUGACUUGGGUUCAAGUCUCACCUCUGACACAUACUGGCUCUGUGACGCUGGGUAAGUCACCUAACAUUUUGGUGCUCUAGGCAACUCUCUAAGAUUAUAACUUGCAGAGAAGGUUCUGACCUGCCUGUCUUGGGGCUGGGGUAUUUCCUUACUGGAAGUUCCCUUUACUAGUGAUACCACAGGUCUAGUUUCUGUCCCUAGCCUUCAUUAGACUCUAAUCCCUUUGAGAGAAGGCUGUCUUUUGCCUCUUUGUAUCCCAGGAUCUAGGGCAUGAUUAGGACUUCACACUGAUGUCAAGGAUAAUAUCUACACUCCCUCCCUCCCAGGGUAAUUCUGAACAAAGAGCUUUGCAAAUGCUAAAGCAUUACAAAAAUGUGAGCUAUUACUACAGGAAAGAGAAUGAGCCUUCCUUCCUGAGGAGAGCAUUUAGGGUUAAAAGUGUGUGUACUUGGGCUCCAGGGGCCAAAUCUUCUCCAGCUCUGUGCUUGUGUCAAAUGAACACUGCAGUUCUCUGGGAAUAAAGCAACUAGCUCCCAAUAACUUUGCCUCAGAGGUCACUCUAGCUUAGAGAAUCCCACACAGUACCACAUCCUGUAUGGUGGCAGCAGGAAGGCUGGCUUCUGUGGAUGCCAGGAAUUGACCACUCUUAUGCGUCCUGCCCACAGGGCAAGAAGCAGGAAGGCUGAGGUGAUCUGACCACUGGAUGAGGUUGUGCAAGACCAUGUCUGUCAGUAAUUAGGUGCAGUCUGUCAGAGCAAUAAGACCCAUAGAACUUUCCACUAUUUGUAGUCCAGGGAGACACAGUCAAAAGAAUGAUUCAUUUAGAGCCUGAAGAUUUGAUUUCAAAUCCCAAUUCUGUUUCUUAUUCCCUAUGUGACCUUGGGCAAGUCAUAUAACUUCUUGUUCUUAGUUUCCUUAGCUUUAACAUGAGGAAUUUGGUUUAGAUGAUCUCUAACAUCCAUUCCAGCUCUAAUACUUUUAUCCAUAUUAUUAAAAGAUUUAAAAUCAGAA